rnacentral:sRNA from 1 species
AAGUGUGAGGGUGUUUGAUGUGAGCUCUGUCACACACCGUUUAUCACCACGGCUGACUGGCUGGUCUGAUUGGCUAUAUGAGUGACACCUUCCUUCCUCUCUCCUUCAUGUGCAUUCUUCUUGUCGAUGUAUGCUUGCUUCCAGCCAAGGGUGUGUGAGUCCAAGCCACACCCCCUGCUCGAACCCCCAGACAAGCCAACAAGCUCUCUGGGUUCAUCUAUGGGAGAACAUUAGGUAGUCAGGAUUCUUUUUAAAGAGAGGAAAACAUAAUCCUAAUGAGGAGGAUGGGUAGCUUA